rnacentral:tRNA from 1 species
UCCCCUGUGGCUCAGUUGGUAGAGCAUGGUGUUUGCAAUGCCAGGGUUGUGGGUUCAAUUCCCACGGGGGAC